AACGAACGCUGGCGGCAGGCCUAACACAUGCAAGUCGAGCGCCCCGCAAGGGGAGCGGCGGACGGGUGAGUAGCGCGUGGGAAUAUUCCCUUUGCUACGGAAUAGUCUCGGGAAACUGGGGGUAAUACCGUAUACGCCCUUUGGGGGAAAGAUUUAUCGGGGAAGGAUUAGCCCGCGUUGGAUUAGGUAGUUGGUGGGGUAAUCGCCUACCAUGCCGACGAUCCAUAGCUGGUUUGAGAGGAUGAUCAGCCACACUGGGACUGAGACACGGCCCAGACUCCUACGGGAGGCAGCAGUGGGGAAUAUUAGACAAUGGGGGCAAACCUGAUCUAGCCAUGCCGCGUGAGUGAUGAAGGCCUUAGGGUUGUAAAGCUCUUUCAGCUGGGAAGAUAAUGACGGUACCAGCAGAAGAAGCCCCGGCUAACUCCGUG
rnacentral:rRNA from 1 species